AUACGGAGGGUGCAAGCGUUACUCGGAAUCACUGGGCGUAAAGCGCGCGCAGGCGGCUAUUUAAGUUGGAUGUGAAAGCCUACGGCUCAACCGUAGAACUGCAUCCAAAACUAUUUAGCUAGAGUGUGAGAGAGGAAGAUGGAAUUAGUUGUGUAGGGGUAAAAUCCGUAGAGAUAACUAGGAAUACCAAAAGCGAAGGCAAUCUUCUGGAACACUACUGACGCUGAGGCGCGAAAGCGUGGGGAGCAAACAGUAUUAGAAACCCCAGUAGUCC
rnacentral:rRNA from 1 species